ACCUGGGUGGCUCAGUCGGUUGGGCGUUUGACUUUGGGUCAGGUCAUGAUCUCAUGGUUCGUGGGUUCAAGCCCCAUAUCAGGCU
rnacentral:tRNA from 1 species